rnacentral:piRNA from 1 species
UGCAGCUUCCGUUUCCUGUGACUGA